AAUCAACGCUGGCGGCGUGCCUAACACAUGCAAGUCGAACGCGAAAGCCCCUUCGGGGGUAAGUAGAGUGGCGUCCGGGUGAGUAACACGUAGGUAAUCUGCCUUCGGGUGGGGAAUAACCAGUCGAAAGAUUGGCUAAUACCGCAUAAUGCAGCGGCACCUAAUGGUGAUUAGUUGUUAAAGCGGGGGAUCGUAAGACCUCGCGCCUGAAGAGGAGCCUGCGGCAGAUUAGCAGUUGGUGAGGUAAUGGCUCACCAAGGCUUCGAUCUGUAGCUGGUCUGAGAGGACGGCCAGCCACACUGGCACUGACACACGGGCCAGACUCCUACGGGAGGCAGCA
rnacentral:rRNA from 1 species